UUGGGGAUGAAGCGGGUCAAACGGAGCAAGUACGGAAAGAAAAGCGUGGCAUGGAUGCAAGGAUGAACGGCUCGGAAAUUAGCGAAGCUAUGAAAUAGCAAAUAAAUGAAGACAAGGUAUUAAAAUGGGUCAAUAUGUUGAUCCGAGCCAGGUAAACUUUAGUAAGCUUACGGAUGAAGAUCAAGCUCGUUGAAGGACCGAACACAAUGCAGUUACAAGCUUCCGCACAUAGUUUAGUCGUUAUUUCUAAACGGCAAAUUUUUACCAAUCAUGAUGUAACGUUAUAAAAUUUAGAAAAGUUUUAAUUAACUUGUAUUCUUAAUU
rnacentral:lncRNA from 1 species